GAAUGACUCUCGGCAACGGAUAUCUCGGCUCUCGCAUCGAUGAAGAACGCAGCGAAAUGCGAUACUUGGUGUGAAUUGCAGAAUCCCGUGAACCAUUGAGUCUUUGAACGCAAGUUGCGCCCGACGCCUUCUGGCUGAGGGCAUGUCUGCCUGGGCGUCACGC
rnacentral:rRNA from 1 species